rnacentral:rRNA from 2 species
UCMUKKSCCCCUWGUWRMCGGCCGAGUGAAGCGGCAACAGCUCAAAUWUGAAAUCUGGCGCAAGCCCGAGUUGUAAUUUGUAGAGGAUGCUUCUGGCCAGCGGCCGUUCUAAGUUCCUUGGAACAGGACGUCAUAGAGGGUGAGAAUCCCGUAUGUGACCGGCGCGCAGCCUUUACGUAGCUCCUUCGACGAGUCGAGUUGUUUGGGAAUGCAGCUCUAAAUGGGAGGUAAAUUUCUUCUAAAGCUAAAUACCGGCCAGAGACCGAUAGCGCACAAGUAGAGUGAUCGAAAGAUGAAAAGCACUUUGGAAAGAGAGUUAAAAAGCACGUGAAAUUGUUGAAAGGGAAGCGCUUGCAACCAGACUUCGUAGCGAUGUUCCGCCGGUCUUCUGACCGGUCUACUCAUCGUCGCGAGGCCAACAUCGUCUGGGGCCGCCGGAUAAGACCUAAGGAAUGUAGCUUCCCUCGGGAAGUGUUAUAGCCUUUGGUGAUGCGGCGCGUCUCGGGCGAGGUCCGCGCUUCGGCAAGGAUGUUGGCGUAAUGGUUGUCAGCGGCCCGUCUUGAAACACGGACCCAA